UGAAGCCUUGUCCAAUUCACUGCCUGUCCUACCAUAGCAAGCACCAACCCAGAGGCUGCCGUAGAAACUGUCAUCCCUGGGCCUAUUUCCCCGAGCUUGGUCAGGCUUUACUCACAGACAACA